CCCGAAAAAAAACCUUUCAACUCGGUCAUUUAGAGGAAGUAAAAGUCGUAACAAGGUUUCCGUAGGUGAACCUGCGGAAGGAUCAUUACCGAGUGAGGGCCCUCUGGGUCCAACCUCCCACCCGUGUUUAUUUUACCUUGUUGCUUCGGCGGGCCCGCCUUAACUGGCCGCCGGGGGGCUUACGCCCCCGGGCCCGCGCCCGCCGAAGACACCCUCGAACUCUGUCUGAAGAUUGUAGUCUGAGUGAAAAUAUAAAUUAUUUAAAACUUUCAACAACGGAUCUCUUGGUUCCGGCAUCGAUGAAGAACGCAGCGAAAUGCGAUACGUAAUGUGAAUUGCAAAUUCAGUGAAUCAUCGAGUCUUUGAACGCACAUUGCGCCCCCUGGUAUUCCGGGGGGCAUGCCUGUCCGAGCGUCAUUGCUGCCCUCAAGCACGGCUUGUGUGUUGGGCCCCGUCCUCCGAUCCCGGGGGACGGGCCCGAAAGGCAGCGGCGGCACCGCGUCCGGUCCUCGAGCGUAUGGGGCUUUGUCACCCGCUCUGUAGGCCCGGCCGGCGCUUGCCGAUCAACCCAAAUUUUUAUCCAGGUUGACCUCGGAUCAGGUAGGGAUACCCGCUGAACUUAAGCAUAUCAAUAAGCGGAGAAAAGAAACCCAACAGGUUCCCCCCC
rnacentral:rRNA from 1 species